AGUGAACGCUGGCGGUAGGCCUAACACAUGCAAGUCGAACGGCAGCACAGUAAGAGCUUGCUCUUACGGGUGGCGAGUGGCGGACGGGUGAGGAAUACAUCGGAAUCUACUUUUUCGUGGGGGAUAACGUAGGGAAACUUACGCUAAUAACGCAUACGACCUACGGGUGAAAGCAGGGGAUCUUCGGACCUUGCGUGAUUGAAUGAGCCGAUGUCGGAUUAGCUAGUUGGCGGGGUAAAGGCCCACCAAGGCGACGAUCCGUAGCUGGUCUGCGAGGAUGAUCAGCCACACUGGAACUGAGACACGGUCCAGACUCCUACGGGAGGCAGCAGUGGGGAAUAUUGGACAAUGGGCGCAAGCCUGAUCCAGCCAUACCGCGUGGGUGAAGAAGGCCAUCGGGUUGUAAAGCCCUUUUGUUGGGAAAGAAAAGCAGCAGGUUAAUACCCCGCUGUUCUGACGGUACCCAAAGAAUAAGCACCGGCUAACUUCGUG
rnacentral:rRNA from 1 species